rnacentral:rRNA from 1 species
GACGAACGCUGGCGGCGUGCUUAACACAUGCGAGUCGAACGGAAAGGCCCUGCUUUUGUGGGGCGCUCGAGUGGCGAACGGGUGAGUAACACGUGAGUAACCUGCCCUUGACUUUGGGAUAACUUCAGGAAACUGGGGCUAAUACCGGAUAGGAGCUCCUGCUGCAUGGUGGGGGUUGGAAAGUUUCGGCGGUUGGGGAUGGACUCGCGGCUUAUCAGCUUGUUGGUGGGGUAGUGGCUUACCAAGGCUUUGACGGGUAGCCGGCCUGAGAGGGUGACCGGCCACAUUGGGACUGAGAUACGGCCCAGACUCCUACGGGAGGCAGCAGUGGGGAAUAUUGCACAAUGGGCGGAAGCCUGAUGCAGCAACGCCGCGUGCGGGAUGACGGCCUUCGGGUUGUAAACCGCUUUCGCCUGUGACGAAGCGUGAGUGACGGUAAUGGGUAAAGAAGCACCGGCUAACUACGUG